UAGCCUUAAACUUAUGAGUAAGGAAAAUAAAAACCUGGGUGACGCUGGGUUAUACGUAAAUUACUCUUACGAUAGAUUUUUGAAGGGUGGCAGGCUGCCCAUGAGCUCGAAUCGCCUACUUUAGCGAAUCGCUUGUGUUGCUGCGGCCUCCG